GCGGGAGAAAAUGCAUAGUUAUGAAUUCUGACUUCAGUGCUCUACUUCUCUCUGAUGCCUGUUCUGGGGGAAAGAGGAGUGGAGUGAAGCCCAUAGGAGGGCGCCUUUCCAACUUGGGCUGCUGCAUAUCCCUCCCUCCUCCUACAUGAUCAUCAUCCAGCAGUCCGUUUCCUAGAGAGGCCGGAAGUAGCAGAAAUAGCAUCUGUGGGCGGAAGAAGGGGGUGAGGUACAAAGGGGGCCCCGCAUACCUGCUUUACUUCCAGGAAGUGCAGAAAGCCUGAUUUGUUGACCAUCACCCUCAGAGUCCUGCAGAUGGCGUAAUUGUCACCUUCUCUUCUUCCUGGCAUCAGAGAAACCAUUUUUUCUUUUCUCAUGGCAUCAGAAAAACCAUUUCAAUCGUCCCUUUCUUGGGCCAGAGCGGAAGGCAUCACCAUGCAGCCACUUCAGGCAUCCCUGCAUUAGAACACCUGAAAGAAGGAGCUUCUUUGCUUUCAACUUGGCACUGCAAAAUACCAAAGCCACUUAUUAAGAAAGCUUCUGAAAAACAGAAUCCCUGUUUCCUCAGUAUUAAGUUGCUCCUAGGAAGAAAAGGUAUAGAGGCUGAGUUUCACCAGAAAGCAAAUAAAUUGAGCACUUACUCAAUUGACUCUGAAGCAAAAAUGGCAGGUAUACCGUUGCAUCAAUCCAAGCCAGUGUACAGGCACAUGCCAGUACUAUGUGCAUACAAUCUGUGCCCGUGUUCUCCAUCCAUUUCUGAGCCUUUGUCCAACUGGUGGACGGAAAAUCAAUACAAACAUGUUCAGCAGGUUUCCCGUUUUUGAAUUUACAAGCACCGUGGUAACAUAGAGGCCUGAAAAAGGUUCGCCGUUGUAGCCUCACCUUUGGAAAUGCAGCUGGUGUUGGAACUUCCAGGUUGGCACUGAGGAGAGAUGGCGCUGUUCUCAUCUUUGGGCUCUGUUCUUCAGAAAGAUCAGCUGUAAAGCCUUAUAUUGUCAUUCAUAAGUAAGAAAAUAACCAGCUGACCUAGGCCUCUUUCAGCACUCUACAUGGACCGUCUCUUAAUAGCUGUCCACCAACAGUAGCUACUGCAGAGACCUGCUGAUCAAGUAUGGUUGGAAUCAUCUACAGAAAUUGCAUUAUACAGAUGUUAAGGGCUCUGCACGGAUUGCCAUGGAUAUCAACGUACUUCAAAUGUUGUAACUGUAUUGGGUGAGGUCUGACUGACUACGAGCUCCCUUGAACCAUGCCUGCCUUGGCUGAUAAAAAGUUAGCCAGCAGGAUGUGGUUGGGUAGGUUCAGGGAAUGAUGAAUGUCUCUU
rnacentral:lncRNA from 1 species